rnacentral:rRNA from 1 species
GACGAACGCUGGCGGCGUGCUUAACACAUGCAAGUCGAACGGAAAGGCCCUGCUUUUGUGGGGUGCUCGAGUGGCGAAAGGGUGAGUAACACGUGAGUAACCUGCCCUUGACUUUGGGAUAACUUCAGGAAACUGGGGCUAAUACCGGAUAGGAGCUCCUGCUGCAUGGUGGGGGUUGGAAAGUUUCGGCGGUUGGGGAUGGACUCGCGGCUUAUCAGCUUGUUGGUGGGGUAGUGGCUUACCAAGGCUUUGACGGGUAGCCGGCCUGAGAGGGUGACCGGCCACAUUGGGACUGAGAUACGGCCCAGACUCCUACGGGAGGCAGAAGUGGGGAAUAUUGCACAAUGGGCGGAAGCCUGAUGCAGCAACGCCGCGUGCGGGAUGACGGCCUUCGGGUUGUAAACCGCUUUCGCCUGUGACGAAGCGUGAGUGACGGUAAUGUGUAAAGAAGCACCGGCUAACUACGUG